UACGAAGGGGGCUAGCGUUGUUCGGAAUUACUGGGCGUAAAGCGCGUGUAGGCGGCCCGGUAAGUCCGCUGUGAAAGUCGGGGGCUCAACCCUCGAAUGCCGGUGGAUACUGUCGGGCUAGAGUGCGGGAGAGGCGAGUGGAAUUCCUGGUGUAGCGGUGAAAUGCGCAGAUAUCAGGAGGAACACCAAUUGCGAAGGCAGCUCGCUGGAACGUAACUGACGCUGAGACGCGAAAGCGUGGGGAGCAAACAGG
rnacentral:rRNA from 1 species